UUAAAUUGCAAUUAAGAUAAAAAUUAGGGUUUGGGAUCCUUUUAAUUAAGGGUUAAUUGGAAUUAGGGCUAGUUUUAGAAAACCAAAUUGACCAAAUCAAUUGUUUCCUGCCCAGAGUUUUCUUUCUUUCCUCUUCCUGAUUCUAAUUGGGCUUGAAUCAGUAGAGUCCAAUUAAGGCUCCAGCCUUAUUCUCUUCGAGGGGUCAUGCUCUCAUUUGCACAAUUAGUCUUCCUUUUCUCUUGGACGCGUUAGACAGAAGCUCGAAGCUUCUUGUCUUUCUCUUCUCCCUUUCUCGCGAGCAGCAGUGAGAGUGCAGUGAUGGAGGUGAGAGACACGACGAGGCUGCAGCAGAGGCGCGGUGACGGUGCAAGGACAUGGUCGUCUUGGUUUUCUCGAUUAUCUUUAUGCUAGCUCGCGGCAAGGAUCACUGUUGACGGUGGCUGGCAAAGGCAGCAACGUUCGCUGCGAGGGGCACUGAUGAAGGCAGUGGAGUGAAUCGCGACCUCAACCCUGCAGUUUUCGAUAUUGUUUAUCUGAUAUUACAAUUUGAGAUGACGAGAUAGAUUUCCUGAUUAUUGCGAAAGUGGGUAUUCUUUGUAAUCUUGGUCUGAGUUUCCCUAAUUGGGAUUAGGGUUCCGAUUGAGGAAGCUAGGGUUUUGAUUUGGGAAAAAUUCUUUGGGGUUCUGAUGUUUGCGAUUGCGGGUUCCGUGGUGGUUGUUGGAGAGGAGCGAGUGGCAUCGUGGUGGUUGUUGGAGAGGAGCGAGUGGCAUCGUGGUGGUUGCAGGUAGGGUUUGCGGUGGCAAGAUGUGAUGGGCUGUUGGGCUUGUAGACUGGCUUUGGGUUACGAUUUGGACUGGCAGUUUUGGUUUGAGCUGACAAAUUUGGGUUCAGUUAACUGUUUGGGCCGCAGGCCCAGUGUUGAACAGAAACUUAAACAUUGAACAACAAUAAUUAGAAUAUAAUUGGAUUAGCUAUGCUUAUAGGGCCGGUGUUUGGACGUAUGCAGAAUUACUAGUUAUUAACUUUAAUUACUAAAAUUAAAGUGUAAAGGAAGAGAUUAAUAAUAUUAAUUGUUAUAAUUAUAAAAGGAAAAUUAUUAUUAUUUAAUUAGUAAUUAAUUGUAAUCAAAUUAAUUUAUUGGAAAGAGAAAUUUACUUGAUAUGAAAAGGAAAGAAAUUG
rnacentral:lncRNA from 1 species